GAUGAACGCCGGCGGCGUGCCUAACACAUGCAAGUCGAGCGAUCUUCUUCGGAAGAGAGCGGCGGACGGGUGAGUAACGCGUGGGUAACCUGCCCUGUACACACGGAUAACAUACCGAAAGGUAUGCUAAUACGGGAUAACAUACUUUUAUCGCAUGGUAGAAGUAUCAAAGCUCCGGCGGUACAGGAUGGACCCGCGUCUGAUUAGCUAGUUGGUAAGGUAACGGCUUACCAAGGCGACGAUCAGUAGCCGACCUAAGAGGGUGAUCGGCCACAUUGGAACUGAGACACGGUCCAAACUCCUACGGGAGGCAGCAGUGGGGAAUAUUGCACAAUGGGCGAAAGCCUGAUGCAGCAACGCCGCGUGAGCGAUGAAGGCCUUCGGGUCGUAAAGCUCUGUCCUCAAGGAAGAUAAUGACGGUACUUGAGGAGGAAGCCCCGGCUAACUACGUGCCAGCCGCCGCUGUAAUAC
rnacentral:rRNA from 1 species